GGGUGCAUAGCUCAGUUGGUUAGAGCACUACUAUCACACAGUAGGGGUCCGGGGUUCGAGUCCCUGUGCGCCCACAA
rnacentral:tRNA from 1 species